GUGGGCUACGGCGAUAUGAAGCCCAUCACUGUCGGUGGGAAGAUCGUGGGCUCCCUGUGCGCCAUCGCGGGCGUGUUAACCAUUGCGCUGCCGGUGCCGGUCAUAGUGUCCAAC
rfam:Takifugu rubripes chromosome, Chr_13